AUUCGAUUCCAUUCGAUUCGAUCGGCGGUACGUGAAUCCGAGGGGGAUAGCUAUAUAUAUGUACAAUAUAGGCCGCACCCUUCUUCGAUCUGCGACGACAAUCAGAAAAAGUUCCAUUCCAGUUCGUAUCGAAUUAAUUUGCCUAAAAUGUGGCACAAAUCUCAAUUGCAGCAGUGCACAUCAAUAAACAAAAACGCCAGAAAGGAGCAAAAAAGAAAAAAAACGAGCAAAGGAGCAAAGGACAUGUGAGAUUGAUGACACAAUCGAACAGUUUACAGAUACAUUACAAGCAGCUGCAACAGAUGAAAGUUAACCCAUUCUACACUUUGUACCGAAGUACUCAAGAAUUCAAUGAAUACAUACAUACGUAGGAAUUAAAGGUUUAGCAUGUGAUUUUAGCACAGAUUACUGGAUGCUUUGGUAUAUGGACUGCUUCAGUGCCCAACCAGGUCGUAAACAUCGGGCCAAAGUACCUGGGAACCAACGCCUAGACACUGUCCAUCACUGAUCCUAACCAUGUCAGCCGUGCUCGCCGCGCUUUCGCUGCUUUCCGUUCUCCUUUCGCGAGGCCCUUGCUCCGCUCCGCUCCGCUCCCUCCUGGUCCAUUGGUUUUCGCUUUUAUGGCGGCGGGCACACCUAUUUUCCAAAAGGAUUUCCCAGCAUUUGCGGCAAAAUGAAGCAACAACAAUGUUGCAAAAACAAAAAGGAUGGCGAAAAAAAAA
rnacentral:sRNA from 1 species